rnacentral:rRNA from 1 species
GUGGGGAAUUUUGGACAAUGGGCGCAAGCCCGAUCCAGCCAUGCCGCGUGCAGGAUGAAGGCCUUCGGGUUGUAAACUGCUUUUGUACGGAACGAAAAAGCUCUCUCUAAUACAGGGGGUGAAUGACGGUACCGUAAGAAUAAGCACCGGCUAACUACGUGCCAGCAGCCGCGGUAAUACGUAGGGUGCAAGCGUUAAUCGGAAUUACUGGGCGUAAAGCGUGCGCAGGCGGUUAUGUAAGACAGAGGUGAAAUCCCCGGGCUCAACCUGGGAACUGCCUUUGUGACUGCAUAGCUGGAGUGCGGCAGAGGGGGAUGGAAUUCCGCGUGUAGCAGUGAAAUGCGUAGAUAUGCGGAGGAACACCGAUGGCGAAGGCAAUCCCCUGGGCCUGCACUGACGCUCAUGCACGAAAGCGUGGGGAGCAAACAGGAUUAGAAACCCCAGUAGUCC